rnacentral:rRNA from 1 species
UCGAUGCCUCUGCGAGAGCAGAACGACCCGCGAACCCGUCACGACACCAGCGGGGGGAGCGCCUCCCGGCCUCCCCCCCUCGCCGCCGCGGGUGCGGGACCAGUCCCGUUCCCCGCGGGGGCGCGCAACGAACCCCCGGCGCGGACCGCGCCAAGGAAAUCCAACGGGAGAGUGCGCGCGCUCCCGGGGCCCCGGACAUGGUGCGCUCCGGGACGCCGCUCCUUCUUUCGAAAUUAUGUCUGUAACGACUCUCGGCAACGGAUAUCUCGGCUCUCGCAUCGAUGAAGAACGUAGCGAAAUGCGAUACUUGGUGUGAAUUGCAGAAUCCCGUGAACCAUCGAGUCUUUGAACGCAAGUUGCGCCCCAAGCCUCCGGGCCGAGGGCACGUCUGCCUGGGUGUCACGCAUCGUUGCCCCACCCCGCCCCCUCACCUGAGGGGCCCGGCGGUGCGGGCGGACACUGGCCUCCCGUGCGCUCCGCGCCGCGGUUGGCCGAAAUCCGAGUCCCCGGCGGCCGGUGCCGCGACGAUCGGUGGUGAGAACAAGCCUCUCGAGCUAGCGUCGCGCGCCCGUCUCUCCGAGUCGGGACUCAGGGACCCUGUGGCUCCGCGCAAGCGGCGCUCGCAUC